GACGAACGCUGGCGGCGUGCUUAACACAUGCAAGUCGAGCGAGAGAAAUUCCUUCGGGAAGGACUCUAGCGGCGGACGGGUGAGUAACACGUGGGUAACCUGCCUCAUAGGGGGGAAUAGCCUUUCGAAAGGAAGAUUAAUACCGCAUAAGAUUGUAGUAUCGCAUGAUACAGCAAUUAAAGGAGUAAUCCGCUAUGAGAUGGAACCGCGUCGCAUUAGCUAGUUGGUGAGGUAACGGCUCACCAAGGCGACGAUGCGUAGCCGACCUGAGAGGGUGAUCGGCCACAUUGGGACUGAGACACGGCCCAGACUCCUACGGGAGGCAGCAGUGGGGAAUAUUGCACAAUGGGGGAAACCCUGAUGCAGCAACGCCGCGUGAGUGAUGACGGUCUUCGGAUUGUAAAACUCUGUCUUCAGGGACGAUAAUGACGGUACCUGAGGAGGAAGCCACGGCUAACUACGUGCCAGCAGCCGCAGUAA
rnacentral:rRNA from 1 species